rnacentral:misc_RNA from 1 species
UCGAGAGUCUCACCUCUCCACCCUGUGUUUUAUGUCCUCUGUUUCUUCGGCGGGCCAUGAAGGCCACCCGGCCGGUACCAUGUAGGCUGUGUGGGGCCAGUGGCCCGUCGGUGGCAACUCUGCGGUUGAAACGUUGUCGUCUGAGUUUGGCUUCCAGUUAGAACA